rnacentral:rRNA from 1 species
UUCCGGUUGAUCCUGCCGGACCCUACUGCUAUCGGGAUAGGACUAAGACAUGCUAGUCACUCCAGCCAAAGGAGGCGCACAGCUCAGUAACACGUGGCUAACCUGCCCUUGGGAUAGGGACAACCCCGGGAAACUGGGGCUAAUCCUUGAUAGGUGAAGAAUUCUGGAAUGAAUCUUCGCCCAAAAGACUUACCGCCCAAGGAUGGGGCCGCGACCGAUCAGGUUGUUGGUGAGGUAACGGCUCACCAAGCCUUUUACCGGUACGGGCCGUGAGAGCGGGAGCCCGGAGAUGGGCACUGAGACACGGACCCAGGCCCUAUGGGGCGCAGCAGGCGAGAAAACUUUGCAAUGUGCGAAAGCACGACAAGGUUAAUCCGAGUGGUUUGUGCUAAACGAACCUUUUGUCGGUCCUAGAAACACCGAUGAAUAAGGGGUGGGCAAGUUCUGGUGUCAGCCGCCGCGGUAAAACCAGCACCUCAAGUGGUCAGGAUGAUUAUUGGGCCUAAAGCAUCCGUAGCCGGCUCUGUAAGUUUUCGGUUAAAUCUGUACGCUCAACGUACAGGCUGCCGGGAAUACUGCAGAGCUAGGGAGUGGGAGGGGUAGACGGUACUCGGUAGGAAGGGGUAAAAUCCUUUGAUCUAUUGAUGACCACCUGUGGCGAAGGCGGUCUACCAGAACACGUCCGACGGUGAGGGAUGAAAGCUGGGGGAGCAAACCGGAUUAGAUACCCGGGUAGUCCCAGCUGUAAACUAUGCAAACUCAGUGAUGCAUUGGCUUGUGGCCAAUGCAGUGCUGCAGGGAAGCCGUUAAGUUUGCCGCCUGGGAAGUACGUACGCAAGUAUGAAACUUAAAGGAAUUGGCGGGGGAGCACCACAAGGGGUGAAGCCUGCGGUUCAAUUGGAUUCAACGCCGGA